AGUGAACGCUGGCGGCGUGCUUAACACAUGCAAGUCGAACGAGAACGGGUUAUAGCUUGCUAUAAUUGUCAGCUAAGUGGCGCACGGGUGAGUAAUGUAUAGGUAAUACGCCUCUUACUAAGGGAUAACAAAUGGAAACGUUUGCUAAUACCUUAUACUCCUUAUUAACAGAAGUUAAUAAGGGAAAGAUUUAUUGGUAAGAGAUUAGCCUGUAUUGUAUCAGUUAGUUGGUGAGGUAAUGGCUUACCAAGACUAUGACACAUAACUGGUUUGAGAGGAUGAUCAGUCACACUGGAACUGAGACACGGUCCAGACUCCUACGGGAGGCAGCAGUGGGGAAUAUUGCACAAUGGACGAAAGUCUGAUGCAGCAACGCCGCGUGGAGGAUGACACAUUUCGGUGCGUAAACUCCUUUUAUAUGAGAAGAUAAUGACGGUAUUAUAUGAAUAAGCACUGGCUAACUACGUGCCAGCCGCCGCGGUAAGAC
rnacentral:rRNA from 1 species